CAGUGCAUACAAACAAAAGUGAGGAGGCAAAAGCACAGUAAACGACACUGCACACAGUGUGCGUGAGUGUGUUGUGCAAGUAAACAAAAAGUUUCAAAAACCGAUUCAGUAGUAGCUCUUUUUAGCCCUCUUUUGUACUCUCUCAUCUUUUUCCUCACCGUCUGCAACAUCUUUUUUCUCUCUCUCUGAUACACUAACAAUGGCGGAAGAGUACUCUGUGGAUCCGGCGCAGUUACUGGAAGCAGCUACUGACUUUGCGUAUCAUCCUGGCGCUCUUUCCGAUGCUUCAGCUCAAGACUUUCUUAAUCGAUUUCCUCUUCCAGCCAUUAUCAAUGCUUUGCAAACAAAAGCAGAUUACCCUGGCCUAGAAAGUGCUUUGGUUGAUUGUUUAGAGAAGCUUUUCAAAACAAGAUAUGGAGCAUCACUCAUUCCACACUACAUGCCAUUUGUUAUUGUCGGUCUCGGUGCAGAGUCUCAGAAAGUCAGACGCUUAGCAUGCCAAACUGUAUCCUGCCUGUUGGAGAAUAUUGAUGAAGCACUUGUUAUACAACUAAUUCAUGAGUAUGGAGUUUAUCAACUUUUGCUUAAUUGCCUCAUAAGUGGGGAUGCGGAAGUUGCUGCUGCAUCUACAGAUGCAAUUAGGAAACUGGCUAGCCAUUCGAAAGGCAUUGAUAUCAUAUUUCCUGAAAGCGGCAAUGAAGCGACAAACCUCUUGAACUUCGCAACCAACUGUGCACCUCUGGGACGAGUUCGUGUUUUAGCUUUGAUAGUGAAGUUAUUCUCCAUUUCCACUUCUGUGGCAUCAAGAGUCUACAGCUCAAAUCUUCUUAGCUUGUUGGAGACAGAAAUCAGCAAUUCAGAUGAUACAUUAGUCACUUCGAGCAGCUUGGAACUCCUAUAUGAGUUGGCUGAUGUUGAGCACAGCACUGAGUUCUUGUCAAGGACUAAGUUUCUCCAAAUUCUUACUUCUAUUAUUAGUGAUGCUUCUGCUGAAUCGAUUUUGCGAUCAAGAGCAAUGAUGAUAACUGGAAGGCUGAUGGCUAGGGAGAAUGCCUUUGUCUUUAUUGAUGAAUCUGGUUGUAGAAAUCUUAUUUCUGCCAUUAAUGGAAGAUUCAAUUUAUUAGAAAAUCAAAAUGCAGAUGAAUGUGAAUGUGCUCUUGAAGCGCUCGGACAAAUUGGGUUGUCCAGCAAAGGUGCAGCAUUGCUUCUCUCAGGUGCACAGCCUGCAGAAAGACAUGUGAUUUAUGCAGCUUUUGAUCAGCAACAGCAUGGUAAACAGCUGGCAGCAUUGCAUGCUCUUGCAAACAUUGUUGGAGAAACUCGCGCCGAAAAGGAUGUAUUGCUGGAUGGUGAUGCAGAGCAGAAUCUUCGGCGUCUGAUCUAUGAAGCAGCAUCCAAGACUUCAAAGCUGACACCUUCAGGUCUCCUCUUAUCAGUUCUUCAACAGGAUUCAGAAAUUCGUAAGGCGGGCUACAGAGUGAUAAGUGGGUUGGUGAUGCGACCUUGGUGCCUGAUGGAGGUUAUUUCCAGACGAGAAAUAAUAGAUAUAGUAACUGAUGCAUUUAAAGAGACAGAAAAGAUAGGUAUGGAAGCUAGACACAAAUGUUGCCAGUCAAUCUACAAAGUUUUCACCUCAUCUAGUAAACUGAUAGCUGACAAUGCAUUUUCGGGUAUAGCUACAAAGUGAAUUUGCAACAACAACAUACCCAAUGUAAUCCCACAAGUGGAGUUUGUAGAGGGUGAUGUUUAUGCAGCCCUACCCCUACAUUGCAAGCUGGAGCAAGCUAUCAGCAGAGGUCCUUAUCUAGGAAGAAAGCUUUCUGAAGCACAACCUGCAGUGAUGACUGAGCAGAGAUUUUAGUCUUCUCAACAUCUUAGAAACUAUCUUACAAGUGUUAAUUUCAGCCAUGACGUAUCAAUUUUAAGAUGUUAACCCCUGGUAGUACAUAUUUUAUCAAGUUGCUUGUCACUUCCCUUGUAAAAUGUUCCCUUUUCUGUAGGCAAACAGCAACAAUGAUUGUAUACUAUGUGUGUAGGCAUUUGGUGCUAACUGCUAAAGUUGGGUUUUAGCUAUUCGAGUUCACUGGCCUUUUUCACUUCCAAAGAUCCCAUUCAAGAGA